UACGGAGGGUGCAAGCGUUAUCCGGAUUCACUGGGUUUAAAGGGUGCGUAGGUGGGCAGGUAAGUCCGUGGUGAAAUCUCUGAGCUUAACUCAGAAACUGCCGUGGAUACUAUCUGUCUUGAAUAUUGUGGAGGUAAGCGGAAUAUGUCAUGUAGCGGUGAAAUGCUUGGAUAUGACAUAGAACACCAAUUGCGAAGGCAGCUUACUACACAGUAAUUGACGCUGAGGCACGAAAGCGUGGGGAUCAAACAGG
rnacentral:rRNA from 1 species